UACGGAGGGUGCGAGCGUUGUCCGGAUUGACUGGGCGUAAAGCGCACGCAGGCGGAUGCGCGCGUGGGGUGUGAAAUCUGGCCGCUUAACGGCCAGGCGCCAUCCCAUACGGCGCGUCUGGAGUGAUGCAGAGGUCGGUGGAAUUGCCGGUGUAGUGGUGAAAUGCGUAGAGAUCGGCAGGAACACCCAGGGGGAAACCAGCCGACUGGGCAUCGACUGACGCUGAGGUGCGAGAGCGUGGGGAGCGAACCGG
rnacentral:rRNA from 1 species